UAAUCUCACUCCAACAGCCUUUGCUGGCUGUGGGAUGUGGACCUGGACCCUGCUGUGUUGCUACAGCUGGUCUGAAAUGGAUGAGUGUACCCUGCUGCUGCAGCGUCUUCAGUGUGAUAAGCAUCCUCACUGGACAAAGUUCCCUUGGGACACGCAUGCAUGGUGGGCUCUGUGCUUCCAACCGUCCCGCUUCUGGGACAACAUUUGACA
rnacentral:misc_RNA from 1 species